UUUUUUUUUUGGUUUUUUUUUUUUUGGUUUUUGAAAUUGGCCAGGCAGUUCCAGACACAAGCAUGUUUGUAGCUGGCCCUGAUGACAGAAGUAGCUGUGGCUUCCAGCUGUGUGUUAACACAAUAGCCUUAACGGUUUGGCCGGAUUCUGGAUGGGUCCCUAGAGAACAGCUCUGCUUUUUAAAGAGGGGCGGGGCCGAGAGCCAUGGGAAUGGAGCGAGGCCGGUGGAGUUGAUGUUAAUGCAUGACACCUGCGCCACUCACCGAUCUCGAGUCCCACAGAGGAGCUCCGGGAGGAUAAAAGGAGGAGUGACGACAGUGAAAGACGAGAGAGGACCAGGCCUGGAUUUUGUGUUUUGGUUCUGUUUGUGCAAAACAGUCAUCCGUGAGGGGCUAUCACGCUAUUUUGUGUUUAUUUUAUUAUUAAAGUUUUUGUUUAAAUGUUCGCCGGUUCCCGCCUCCUUCUUCCUGACCUACGAACUUUGUUACAUUGGUGCCGAAACCCGGGAGGAAGGAGCGACGCACUGCCGGAGAUCCCUCACUGCUGUGGUUAAUGCACGGUGCCAUCGAGCAUGGCGGGGCAGCCUGCGCCAUGGACACUAAAGGCGGUGGGCUAGAGUGAUUUGCGGGGGAGGGGGGGUGGACAAACUCGCUGCUGGCCGCCUGGGAUAUGGAGGGACGGCUGCCGUCCUCGAUGGAGCAGAGUCGUCACCGCCGUUCGCCUGAGGCUGGAGCCUGAUGCCAUCCACCAUGAUGGGGAGGAGCAGGGAACGGGUGGCUCCUGCUGGCUGCCCGAACCUGGAGGAGCCGUUGCUGUUCACUGGGCGGCGGAGGAGUGUCGUACCAUCCACCGAGGGAUAUCCAGUGCCACCUCCAGUCAUCGUGGAAGAGUUUACCCAGCUGGUGGACUUUACCCAGCUAGUACACCGCGGCUGCCGUGAUCGGCUCCCCCGUUGGGGGGAGGGGGAUUGUAUGUCUCGUGAGUACCCCCCGACCUGCAAAGGGCAUUGGGGGUAUGUGAUGAGAGGAGCGGGGCCGAUAUCCAUGGGAACGGAGCGAGGUCGGUGGAGUUGAUGUUAAUACGCGACACCUGCGCCACUCACCGGUCUCGACCAGGCCUGGAUUUUAUUUUGUGUUUUGGUUCUGUUUGUGCUCGACAGUCGUCCGUGAGGGGCUGUCGCACUAUUUUGUGUUUAUUUUAUUAUUAAAGUUUUUGUUUAAAUGUUCACUGGUUCCCGCCUCCUUCUUCCCAAUGUAUGAGCUUUGUUACAU
ensembl:lncRNA